AGGGACGUCGCCGGCGACAAGUCGGAGGAAGGUGGGGAUGACGUCAAAUCAUCAUGCCCCUUAUGACCUGGGCUACGCACGUGCUACAAUGGGCGGUACAAAGGGCUGCGAACCCGCGAGGGGGAGCGAAUCCCAAAAAGCCGCUCUCAGUUCGGAUUGCAGGCUGCAACUCGCCUGCAUGAAGCCGGAAUCGCUAGUAAUCGCGGAUCAGCAUGCCGCGGUGAAUACGUUCCCGGGCCUU
rnacentral:rRNA from 1 species